AAAAAAACUAAACCUAACACUGCACAGCACACACACACACACACACGCUGUACAACAGCACACACACACGCUGCACAGCAGCACGCACACACACACACGUUGUACAACAACACACACACACGCUGCACAGCAGUACACACACACACGCUGCACAGCAACGUACACACACGCUGCACACACGCAUGCUGCACACAGUCACUCAACAAUUCACAAAUUCACAAA
rnacentral:lncRNA from 1 species